GUGGAUUAGAUACCCCGGUAGUCCUGGCAGUAAACGGUGCACGCUUGGUGUGAGGGGAAUCGACCCCCCUUGUGCCGGAGCUAACGCGUUAAGCGUGCCGCCUGGGAAGUACGGUCGCAAGACUAAAACUCAAAGAAAUUGACGGGGACCCGCACAAGCGGUGGAGUAUGUGGCUUAAUUCGAUGCAACGCGAAGAACCUUACCAAGGCUUGACAUGGAUUUCUAAGCACGUGAAAGCGUGUGACCCUUCGGGGAACUUCCACAGGUGCUGCAUGGCCGUCGUCAGCU
rnacentral:rRNA from 1 species